rnacentral:rRNA from 1 species
GACGAACGCUGGCGGCGUGCCUAAUACAUGCAAGUAGAACGCACAGUUUAUACCGUAGCUUGCUACACCAUAGACUGUGAGUUGCGAACGGGUGAGUAACGCGUAGGUAACCUGCCUGGUAGCGGGGGAUAACUAUUGGAAACGAUAGCUAAUACCGCAUAAUAUUGAUUAUUGCAUGAUAAUUGAUUGAAAGAUGCUAUUGCAUCACUACCAGAUGGACCUGCGUUGUAUUAGCUAGUAGGUGAGGUAACGGCUCACCUAGGCGACGAUACAUAGCCGACCUGAGAGGGUGAUCGGCCACACUGGGACUGAGACACGGCCCAGACUCCUACGGGAGGCAGCAGUAGGGAAUCUUCGGCAAUGGACGAAAGUCUGACCGAGCAACGCCGCGUGAGGGAAGAAGGUUGUCGGAUCGUAAAGCUCGGUUGUAAGAGAAGAACGGGUGUGAGAGUGGAAAGUUCACACUGUGACGGUAUCUUACCAGAAAGGGACGGCUAACUACGUG